GGGAAUAUUGCACAAUGGGCGAAAGCCUGAUGCAGCCAUGCCGCGUGUAUGAAGAAGGCCUUCGGGUUGUAAAGUACUUUCAGUUGUGAGGAAGGGUGUGUAGUUAAUAGCUGCGCAUCUUGACGUUAGCAACAGAAGAAGCACCGGCUAACUCCGUGCCAGCAGCCGCGGUAAUACGGAGGGUGCGAGCGUUAAUCGGAAUUACUGGGCGUAAAGCGCAUGCAGGUGGUUCAUUAAGUCAGAUGUGAAAGCCCGGGGCUCAACCUCGGAACUGCAUUUGAAACUGGUGAACUAGAGUACUGUAGAGGGGGGUAGAAUUUCAGGUGUAGCGGUGAAAUGCGUAGAGAUCUGAAGGAAUACCAGUGGCGAAGGCGGCCCCCUGGACAGAUACUGACACUCAGAUGCGAAAGCGUGGGGAGCAAACAGGAUUAGAUACCCUGGUAGUCCACGCCGUAAACGAUGUCUACUUGGAGGUUGUGGCCUUGAGCCGUGGCUUUCGGAGCUAACGCGUUAAGUAGACCGCCUGGGGAGUACGGUCGCAAGAUUAAAACUCAAAUGAAUUGACGGGGGCCCGCACAAGCGGUGGAGCAUGUGGUUUAAUUCGAUGCAACGCGAAGAACCUUACCUACUCUUGACAUCCAGAGAAGCCAGCGGAGACGCAGGUGUGCCUUCGGGAGCUCUGAGACAGGUGCUGCAUGGCUGUCGUCAGCUCGUGUUGUGAAAUGUUGGGUUAAGUCCCGCAACGAGCGCAACCCUUAUCCUUGUUUGCCAGCGAGUCAUGUCGGGAACUCCAGGGAGACUGCCGGUGAUAAACCGGAGGAAGGUGGGGACGACGUCAAGUCAUCAUGGCCCUUACGAGUAGGGCUACACACGUGCUACAAUGGCGCAUACAGAGGGCAGCAAGCUAGCGAUAGUGAGCGAAUCCCAAAAAGUGCGUCGUAGUCCGGAUUGGAGUCUGCAACUCGACUCCAUGAAGUCGGAAUCGCUAGUAAUCGUGAAUCAGAAUGUCACGGUGAAUACGUUCCCGGGCCUUGUACACACCGCCCGUCACACCAUGGGAGUGGGCUGCAAAAGAAGUGGGUAGUUUAACCUUUCGGGGAGGACGCUCACCACUUUGUGGUUCAUGACUGGGGUGAAGUCGUAACAAGGUAGCCCUAGGG
rnacentral:rRNA from 1 species